rnacentral:rRNA from 1 species
GACGAACGCUGGCGGCGUGCCUAAUACAUGCAAGUUGAGCGAUGAAGAUUGGUGCUUGCACCAAUUUGAAGAGCAGCGCACGGGUGAGUAACGCGUGGGGAAUCUGCCUUUGAGCGGGGGACAACAUUUGGAAACGAAUGCUAAUACCGCAUAAUAACUUUAAACAUAAGUUUUAAGUUUGAAAGAUGCAAUUGCAUCACUCAAAGAUGAUCCCGCGUUGUAUUAGCUAGUUGGUGAGGUAAAGGCUCACCAAGGCGAUGAUACAUAGCCGACCUGAGAGGGUGAUCGGCCACAUUGGGACUGAGACACGGCCCAAACUCCUACGGGAGGCAGCAGUAGGGAAUCUUCGGCAAUGGACGAAAGUCUGACCGAGCAACGCCGCGUGAGUGAAGAAGGUUGUCGGAUCGUAAAACUCUGUUGGUAGAGAAGAACGUUGGUGAGAGUGGAAAGCUCAUCAAGUGACGGUAACUACCCAGAAAGGGACGGCUAACUACGUG